GGGUUGUGAGGUUAAGCGACUAAGCGUACACGGUGGAUGCCCUGGCAGUCAGAGGCGAUGAAGGGCGUGCUAAUCUGCGAUAAGCGCCGGUAAGGUGAUAUGAACCGUUAUAACCGGCGAUACCCGAAUGGGGAAACCCAGUGUGACUCGUCACACUAUCAUUAACUGAAUCCAUAGGUUAAUGAGGCGAACCGGGGGAACUGAAACAUCUAAGUACCCCGAGGAAAAGAAAUCAACCGAGAUUCCCCCAGUAGCGGCGAGCGAACGGGGAGGAGCCCAGAGCCUGAAUCAGCAUGUGUGUUAGUGGAAGCGUCUGGAAAGGCGCGCGAUACAGGGUGACAGCCCCGUACACAAAAGCGCAUGUGCUGUGAGCUCGAUGAGUAGGGCGGGACACGUGGUAUCCUGUCUGAAUAUGGGGGGACCAUCCUCCAAGGCUAAAUACUCCUGACUGACCGAUAGUGAACCAGUACCGUGAGGGAAAGGCGAAAAGAACCCCGGCGAGGGGAGUGAAAAAGAACCUGAAACCGUGUACGUACAAGCAGUGGGAGCACAGGUUUACCUGUGUGACUGCGUACCUUUUGUAUAAUGGGUCAGCGACUUAUAUUCUGUAGCAAGGUUAACCGAAUAGGGGAGCCGUAGGGAAACCGAGUCUUAACCGGGCGUUAAGUUGCAGGGUAUAGACCCGAAACCCGGUGAUCUAGCCAUGGGCAGGUUGAAGGUUGGGUAACACUAACUGGAGGACCGAACCGACUAAUGUUGAAAAAUUAGCGGAUGACCUGUGGCU
rnacentral:rRNA from 1 species